CAGCGUGCUGCUGCUGCGUCCUGCGUGUACUCAAGCGGCAAGCACUAGCAGCCAGCCAGCCAACCCAACGGCGCCCUCCACACUAGGCGGCUAGGGUUUGUGACCCGUGGGCACCUUCUAGAGCUAGAACGCCAGCGGCACAUCGUCCUCGUCCAGCCAGGCCUCUGCAGGUUAUCUGUGGGUGUCGCGCGCAUCGCCCUUGGCCCCUCACCCUCGCCCUUCCCUCCAGGAGUUGACAUGAUUAAGUGAAGUAUUGAUGAGGAGCUUGAUUGCUAUAUAUUUGAUGGACAAGGUCAUGAUGAUUCUAUUGAUAUAAGUGACUUAGAAAAAAUAUUUGGCAUAUCCAAUAUUAAAGGUCGGUAAAAAUAAUAAGCAUACUUUUGGCAUAUUAGCAUGAUGGAAAGCACAUAAAGAAGAAUAUCCUAUCUUGGGCGAGUUUUAGUGGUGGUGGUUGUGUACUUGAUCUAUUUCGUACUCGUCUUGAUCCUACCAUGGUAGAAGCACUUGUCUGCACCAAAGAUUGGAUAGAUGGAGCAAGAAAAGGUUCCAAGGCUAAGUGUGUUGCUAUUCCUGAUAUGGUUUGUGAAAUGGAGGAACUCGAGGCUAUUGCUAUAAAUCUUUCACUUGAGGAUGAAGACCUAGAUGAUGAUCAUGAUGAGGGACCCAAGGCAUCAUUGUAAGCUUGUUGAUGAAGACCUAAAUGAUGAUAAUGCGACAUGAAUGCUAUGAAUGUUUCUUAUUGUACUUGUUGCGUAAUGUUUAGUGACCUUGCGAACUUCUCACAUGUGGACUUGUGGCAUUGUGAACUUUGUGAUCAACUUGUUAUAUUGUGAACUUUGUGAUCAACUUGGUG
rnacentral:lncRNA from 1 species